CCUACGGGUGGCAGCAGUGGGGGAUAUUGCACAAUGGGGGGAACCCUGAUGCAGCGACGCCGCGUGGGUGAAGGAGUAUUUCGGUAUGUAAAGCCCUAUCGGCAGGGAAGAAAUUGGACGGUACCUGACUAAGAAGCACCGGCUAACUACGUGCAAGCAGCCGCGGUAAUACGGAGGGGGCAAGCGUUAUCCGGAUUCACUGGGUGUAAAGGGAGCGUAGACGGCCAUGCAAGCCAGGGGUGAAAGCCCGGGGCCCAACCCCGGGACUGCCCUUGGAACUGGAUGGCUGGAGUGCGGGAGGGGCAGGCGGAAUUCCUGGUGUAGCGGUGAAAUGCGUAGAUAUCAGGAGGAACACCGGCGGCGAAGGCGGCCUGCUGGACCGCGACUGACGUUGAGGCUCGAAAGCGUGGGGAGCGAACAGGAUUAGAUACCCCUGUAGUC
rnacentral:rRNA from 1 species